rnacentral:rRNA from 1 species
UUCCGGUUGAUCCUGCCGGACCCCACUGCUAUCGAGGUGGGACUAAGCCAUGCUAGUCGAACGACUCGAACUAUGUCGAGUAGUGGCACACUGCUCAGUAACACGUAGCUAACCUAACCUUAGGACGGAAAUAACCCCGGGAAACUGGGGCUAAUAUCCGAUAGAUGUGGAGGCCUGGAAUGGUUCUACGUUGAAAGGUAACGGAAGCAUGUUUUUAUUAUGCCUAAGGAUGGGGCUGCGGCCGAUCAGGUUGUUGGUGAGGUAAAGGCUCACCAAGCCAUUGACCGGUACGGGCCAUGAGAGUGGUAGCCCGGAGAUGGGCACUGAGACAAGGGCCCAGGCCCUACGGGGCGCAGCAGGCGCGAAACCUCCACAAUGCACUCACGUGCGAUGGGGUUACCUCGAGUGCUGCCUGAAAAAGGUGGCUUUUACAUAGUGUAACUAGCUAUGUGAAUAAGAGGGGGGCAAGACUGGUGUCAGCCGCCGCGGUAACACCAGCCCCUCGAGUGGUGGGGAUGAUUAUUUGGCCUAAAGCGUCCGUAGCCGGCUGUACACGUCUCCCGUUAAACUCAACGUCUCAAGCGUUGGCCUGCGAGAGAUACUGUAUAGCUAGAGGGUGGGAGAGGUCAGCGGUAUUCCUGGGGUAAGGGCGAAAUCCUUUGAUCC